rnacentral:rRNA from 1 species
AACGUAGGUCACAAGCGUUGUCCGGAAUUACUGGGUGUAAAGGGAGCGCAGGCGGGAAGACAAGUUGGAAGUGAAAUCUAUGGGCUCAACCCAUAAACUGCUUUCAAAACUGUUUUUCUUGAGUAGUGCAGAGGUAGGCGGAAUUCCCGGUGUAGCGGUGGAAUGCGUAGAUAUCGGGAGGAACACCAGUGGCGAAGGCGGCCUACUGGGCACCAACUGACGCUGAGGCUCGAAAGUGUGGGUAGCAAACAGGAUUAGAAACUAGUCCGGCUGACUGACU